GACGAACGCUGGCGGCGUGCUUAACACAUGCAAGUCGAACGGAAAGGCCCUGCUUUUGUGGGGUGCUCGAGUGGCGAACGGGUGAGUAACACGUGAGUAACCUGCCCUUGACUUUGGGAUAACUUCAGGAAACUGGGGCUAAUACCGGAUAGGAGCUCCUGCUGCAUGGUGGGGGUGGGAAAGUUUCGGCGGUUGGGGAUGGACUCGCGGCUUAUCAGCUUGUUGGUGGGGUAGUGGCUUACCAAGGCUUUGACGGGUAGCCGGCCUGAGAGGGUGACCGGCCACAUUGGGACUGAGAUACGGCCCAGACUCGUACGGGAGGCAGCAGUGGGGAAUAUUGCACAAUGGGCGGAAGCCUGAUGCAGCAACGCCGCGUGCGGGAUGACGGCCUUCGGGUUGUAAACCGCUUUCGCCUGUGACGAAGCGUGAGUGACGGUAAUGGGUAAAGAAGCACCGGCUAACUACGUG
rnacentral:rRNA from 1 species